rnacentral:rRNA from 1 species
UACGAAGGGGGCUAGCGUUGUCGGAAUCACUGGGCGUAAAGCGCACGUAGGCGGAUCGUAAGUCGGGGGUGAAAUCCUGGAGCUCAACUCCAGAACUGCCUUCGAUACUGGGAAUCUUGAGUCCGGAAGAGGUGAGUGGAACUGCGAGUGUAGAGGUGAAAUUCGUAGAUAUUCGCAAGAACACCAGUGGCGAAGGCGGCUCACUGGUCCGGUACUGACGCUGAGGUGCGAAAGCGUGGGGAGCAAACAGGG